rnacentral:rRNA from 1 species
AUUGAACGCUGGCGGCACGCCUAACACAUGCAAGUCGAGCGGCAGCAUGAGUAGUAGCAAUACUACUUGAUGGCGAGCGGCGGACGGGUGAGGAACACGUAGGGAUCUGCCUUAAAGAGGGGGAUAACCAGAGGAAACUUUGGCUAAUACCGCAUGAACUCGAGAGAGAAAAGCUGCCCGCAAGGGUGGCGCUUUAAGAAGCGCCUGCGUCCGAUUAGCUAGUUGGUGAGGUAACUGCUCACCAAGGCGAUGAUCGGUAACUGGUCUGAGAGGACGACCAGUCACACUGGGACUGGGACACGGCCCAGACUCCUACGGGAGGCAGCAGUGGGGAAUCUUGGACAAUGGGGGCAACCCUGAUCCAGCGAUGCCGCGUGGGUGAAGAAGGCCUUCGGGUUGUAAAGCCCUUUAGGUUGGGAAGAAGGUUGGUAGUUUAAGAGAUAAUCAACUUGACGGUACCAACAGAAUAAGCACCGGCAAACUCUGUGCCAGCCGCCGCCGUAAGAC